AGAGUUUGAUCAUGGCUCAGGACGAACGCUGGCGGCGUGCCUAAUACAUGCAAGUAGAACGCUGACUACUUUAGCUUGCUAGAGUAGAAGGAGUUGCGAACGGGUGAGUAACGCGUAGGUAACCUGCCUACUAGCGGGGGAUAACUAUUGGAAACGAUAGCUAAUACCGCAUAACAGUGUUUAACACAUGUUAGAUGCUUGAAAGAUGCAAAUGCAUCACUAGUAGAUGGACCUGCGUUGUAUUAGCUAGUUGGUGGGGUAACGGCCUACCAAGGCGACGAUACAUAGCCGACCUGAGAGGGUGAUCGGCCACACUGGGACUGAGACACGGCCCAGACUCCUACGGGAGGCAGCAGUAGGGAAUCUUCGGCAAUGGGGGCAACCCUGACCGAGCAACGCCGCGUGAGUGAAGAAGGUUUUCGGAUCGUAAAGCUCUGUUGUAAGAGAAGAACGUGUGUGAGAGUGGAAAGUUCACACAGUGACGGUAACUUACCAGAAAGGGACGGCUAACUACGUGCCAGCAGCCGCGGUAAUACGUAGGUCCCGAGCGUUGUCCGGAUUUAUUGGGCGUAAAGCGAGCGCAGGCGGUUUAAUAAGUCUGAAGUUAAAGGCAGUGGCUUAACCAUUGUUCGCUUUGGAAACUGUUAAACUUGAGUGCAGAAGGGGAGAGUGGAAUUCCAUGUGUAGCGGUGAAAUGCGUAGAUAUAUGGAGGAACACCGGUGGCGAAAGCGGCUCUCUGGUCUGUAACUGACGCUGAGGCUCGAAAGCGUGGGGAGCAAACAGGAUUAGAUACCCUGGUAGUCCACGCCGUAAACGAUGAGUGCUAGGUGUUGGGCCCUUUCCGGGGCUUAGUGCCGCAGCU
rnacentral:rRNA from 1 species